rnacentral:rRNA from 1 species
UACGUAGGGUGCGAGCGUUGUCCGGAAUUAUUGGGCGUAAAGAGCUCGUAGGCGGUGUGUCACGUCGGCCGUGAAAACCUGCAGCUUAACUGUGGGCGUGCGGUCGAUACGGGCAUCACUGGAGUUCGGCAGGGGAGACUGGAAUUCCUGGUGUAGCGGUGAAAUGCGCAGAUAUCAGGAGGAACACCGGUGGCGAAGGCGGGUCUCUGGGCCGACACUGACGCUGAGGCGCGAAAGCGUGGGGAGCAAACAGG